AAGGGACAGAGUUUUUCAGCUUUCUUCUUUUUAAGGGGAAACACAUCUGCCAAAGAAGAGAACGGCGUUGGUUGCGAUGUGCUUGAUACAGAAGAGGAAUGGAUGGUCAGCCCUAAAUUCUUCAGAGACGCUUGCAGCAUCCACUCCAGCCUCUGCUGACCCUACCACCUCUCUGCCUGCUUCAUUGAUUUCUGCAUGUGCUGCAUGGACAGCUUGAGAUAUCUUCAGGCUCUCUGCUGAGGAGAUGCCAGACAGAUUGGCUGAAGAGCUAAACACGUCAGUAAUGCCCAUAGCCAUUAAGACAGAUGUGAGGUUGUAUUUUUCCUCCAUCUUCAUGCGAGUGUUCUCCCAACUGCUGGAUGCAGAGCAC
rnacentral:lncRNA from 1 species